UGAGGAAUAUUGGACAAUGGAGGGAACUCUGAUCCAGCCAUGCCGCGUGCAGGAAGACUGCCCUAUGGGUUGUAAACUGCUUUUAUACAGGAAGAAACACUCUCUCGUGAGGGAGCUUGACGGUACUGUAAGAAUAAGCAUCGGCUAACUCCGUGCCAGCAGCCGCGGUAAUACGGAGGAUGCAAGCGUUAUCCGGAAUCAUUGGGUUUAAAGGGUCCGUAGGCGGAUUAAUAAGUCAGAGGUGAAAGCCAGCAGCUCAACUGUUGAACUGCCUUUGAUACUGUUAGUCUUGAGUUAUUGUGAAGUGGUUAGAAUAUGUAGUGUAGCGGUGAAAUGCAUAGAUAUUACAUAGAAUACCAAUUGCGAAGGCAGAUCACUAACAAUAUACUGACGCUGAUGGACGAAAGCGUGGGGAGCGAACAGG
rnacentral:rRNA from 1 species